rnacentral:rRNA from 1 species
UGAGCAACCUGCCCUUAGCUCUGGGAUAACCCCGGGAAACCGGGGCUAAUACCGGAUACGAGUCCGAGCGGCAUCACGCGGACUGGAAAGUUUUUCGGCUAAGGAUGGGCUCGCGGCCUAUCAGCUUGUUGGUGAGGUAAUAGCUCACCAAGGCGAUGACGGGUAGCCGGCCUGAGAGGGUGAUCGGCCACACUGGGACUGAGACACGGCCCAGACUCCUACGGGAGGCA